rnacentral:rRNA from 1 species
UGUUUCGGCUAGGGGGCCAUCCCGGCUUACCAACCCGAUGCAAACUGCGAAUACCGGAGAAUGUUAUCACGGGAGACACACGGCGGGUGCUAACGUCCGUCGUGAAGAGGGAAACAACCCAGACCGCCAGCUAAGGUCCCAAAGUCAUGGUUAAGUGGGAAACGAUGUGGGAAGGCCCAGACAGCCAGGAUGUUGGCUUAGAAGCAGCCAUCAUUUAAAGAAAGCGUAAUAGCUCACUGGUCGAGUCGGCCUGCGCGGAAGAUGUAACGGGGCUAAACCAUGCACCGAAGCUGCGGCAGCGACACUGUGUGUUGUUGGGUAGGGGAGCGUUCUGUAAGCCUGUGAAGGUGUGUCGUGAG